rnacentral:rRNA from 1 species
AGUGAACGCUGGCGGUAGGCCUAACACAUGCAAGUCGAACGGCAGCACAGUAAGAGCUUGCUCUUACGGGUGGCGAGUGGCGGACGGGUGAGGAAUACAUCGGAAUCUACUUUUUCGUGGGGGAUAACGUAGGGAAACUUACGCUAAUACCGCAUACGACCUACGGGUGAAAGGAGGGGAUCUUCGGACCUUGCGCGAUUGAAUGAGCCGAUGUCGGAUUAGCUAGUUGGCGGGGUAAAGGCCCACCAAGGCGACGAUCCGUAGCUGGUCUGAGAGGAUGAUCACCCACACUGGAACUGAGACACGGUCCAGACUCCUACGGGAGGCAGCAGUGGGGAAUAUUGGACAAUGGGCGCAAGCCUGAUCCAGCCAUACCGCGUGUGUGAAGAAGGCCUUCGGGUUGUAAAGCCCUUUUGUUGGGAAAGAAAAGCAGCAGGUUAAUACCCCGCUGUUCUGACGGUACCCAAAGAAUAAGCACCGGCUAACUUCGUG